AUGAACGCUAGCUACAGGCUUAACACAUGCAAGUCGAGGGGCAGCAUGAUUGAAGCUUGCUUCAAUUGAUGGCGACCGGCGCACGGGUGAGUAACGCGUAUCCAACCUUCCGUACACUCAGGGAUAGCCUUUCGAAAGAAAGAUUAAUACCUGAUGGUAUGAUGAGAUUGCAUGAUAGCAUCAUUAAAGAUUUAUCGGUGUACGAUGGGGAUGCGUUCCAUUAGGUAGUAGGCGGGGUAACGGCCCACCUAGCCAACGAUGGAUAGGGGUUCUGAGAGGAAGGUCCCCCACAUUGGAACUGAGACACGGUCCAAACUCCUACGGGAGGCAGCAGUGAGGAAUAUUGGUCAAUGGACGAGAGUCUGAACCAGCCAAGUAGCGUGAAGGAUGAAGGUCUUACGGAUUGUAAACUUCUUUUAUAAGGGAAUAAAACCUCCCACGUGUGGGAGCUUGUAUGUACCUUAUGAAUAAGCAUCGGCUAACUCCGUGCCAGCAGCCGCGGUAAUACGGAGGAUGCGAGCGUUAUCCGGAUUUAUUGGGUUUAAAGGGAGCGCAGACGGGUCGUUAAGUCAGCUGUGAAAGUUUGGGGCUCAACCUUAAAAUUGCAGUUGAUACUGGCGUCCUUGAGUGCGGUUGAGGUGUGCGGAAUUCGUGGUGUAGCGGUGAAAUGCUUAGAUAUCACGAAGAACUCCGAUUGCGAAGGCAGCACACUAAGCCGUAACUGACGUUCAUGCUCGAAAGUGUGGGUAUCAAACAGGAUUAGAUACCCUGGUAGUCCACACGGUAAACGAUGGAUACUCGCUGUUGGCGAUAUACAGUCAGCGGCUUAGCGAAAGCGUUAAGUAUCCCACCUGGGGAGUACGCCGGCAACGGUGAAACUCAAAGGAAUUGACGGGGACCCGCACAAGCGGUGGAGCAUGUGGUUUAAUUCGAAGCAACGCGAAGAACCUUACCAAAUCUUGACAUCCUCUGACCCCUCUAGAGAUAGAGUUUUCCCCUUCGGGGGACAGAGUGACAGGUGGUGCAUGGUUGUCGUCAGCUCGUGUCGUGAGAUGUUGGGUUAAGUCCCGCAACGAGCGCAACCCUUAAGCUUAGUUGCCAUCAUUAAGUUGGGCACUCUAAGUUGACUGCCGGUGACAAACCGGAGGAAGGUGGGGAUGACGUCAAAUCAGCACGGCCCUUACGUCCGGGGCUACACACGUGUUACAAUGGGCGGUACAGAAGGCAGCUACCUGGCGACAGGAUGCCAAUCCCUAAAGCCGCUCUCAGUUCGGACUGGAGUCUGCAACCCGACUCCACGAAGCUGGAUUCGCUAGUAAUCGCGCAUCAGCCACGGCGCGGUGAAUACGUUCCCGGGCCUUGUACACACCGCCCGUCAAGCCAUGAAAGCCGGGGGUACCUGAAGUGCGUAACCGCAAGGAGCGCCCUAGGGUAAAACCGGUAAUUGGGGCU
rnacentral:rRNA from 1 species